GAAAGACAGAGAAAGAGAGAGAGAGAGAAAGAGAGAGAGAGAGAAAGAUAGUGAGAGAGACUUAUCGAAACGACGAGACCAUUUUUCCUCCCUUUGUAUCGGAUCCUUCUCGAUCUUUUUCUCAACGUGGACGGUCCGUGGACGGUCAACGUUUAAUCUCGAAAACAAUGGAUCGUCUUUCAAGAACAUACAAUCUAUUCAAGAUCGAAGAGGUCUUCUUCUUCUUUGCCAAAACGCUGUGUCUCGAAUAUCAUUAGCUGAGCAUGAAGGCCAGGAAGAAGGGUGAAAGGGGAGGUGUUGGAGGUGGUGCGUUGGAAAUGAAAGAGGAGAAGAGAGGAGAGAGGAGAACCGACAGUGGCUCCUCAAACUACUCUUCUCACUCUGUACUCGCGCACUCGUCGACUCGUUGGGACAUAAAGAGACGCCUUGUCCGUGUUUCGGCUGGCGCGAUAGCGCGUUAGACGACGUCUGCACGGUAACAUAGCAGGUAACAGACGGUGGAAGGACAUUCUUCGUCUAGGACUAGACACCGUUAGAUCUUCCAGACGGUUGGAACGCCGGAAAGAGAGAGAGAGAGAGAGAGAGAGAGGAGGAGAGAGAAAAAGGGAGAGAGAAAGCGAGAAAGAAUAAACGACCUUGGUUGCUCGAUCGAAGAAGACUAACUUUAUCUGUCGAUUUUUAUCAACAAAUAUUUUAUUUAUUACUCGUAGAAUGCAUAAUUCUUUUCUUUUUUUUUUUUUGUUUUAACUUACGUUUGUAUCUACAACGUAUUAUAAUUUCAUAAGAGAUAUGUAUUCCGAUUAUCAUUUUCAUAUAUUUAUAAGAAGAGCA